UUCUUCACUAAAAGGUAAGAACCUUGAUUUUAACUCCCUGUGCGUGUCUCUCCUUCGCGCUUCCAAACAACGCGAUCCAACCCUCUAGUUCUCUCCUCCGUAAUACGUGAAACCCAACAAAGAGGCACGCCAAAAGCAGCAGCAAGGACAUGCGCAGCGGUACCAAGUAUAAUCUCCUUGUAUUUUUCCUCGAUGUCCCUCUCAAUUAGUACCAUCGUAGCAGAAAAAUAAUAGGAGCACAUGAAAUUGUCCUUAGCGUGAUAUAGCUCCACGUAUCAUCUCAAGGAAAAGAUAUUGAUCCCAGCCAUCAAUUCUUUCUUUCCUCUUCCGAAAUGGGUCAAAACUUCAAAAAAAAAAGUUACUUGUCCAAAAGGGUGAAAGAUUUUGAGUUUUGAGUUUUGAUUUUGGGCCUUUCAGUCCGUAGUGUUUUUCGUCCGUUCCCCCCCAACCCCGCCCCAAUUUGCCAUAAUUCUUAGACUAUAAAUAUGCUAUUUCUUUUUCUUUUGGAGGUUGUUCAGUGUUGGGAGAAAAGGAGAUUUAGGACAGAAAAUGAUUUUUUGAAAAUCUUGGAUCGAUAAUACAUACAGCUUAAGGUGAAAUAGUUGAAAUACACACUUAGUGCUUCAAAGAAAACAGAGGAGAUAGUUUGUUCAGUUUUGAGAUUUAUAUCUCUGUAAAAACGUCCAAUUACUGUUCGUCUCUGUGCUCAUGUGGUGAAGGUCUUCGCUGCCUGCUCACUCAUUCAAAAUCACUGCACAUGAAAAGGUACGAAUCCCCAAGGACAAACCAAGGGCCCUUGAGAAGGACCCUUCUACGUUGGAGUCAAAGACUUCCUGGGCAGUGUGCAUUGACGAAGGAAGUAGACGAGGCGUAUGUUGAUCAAAGUUCCAGUCGUUGAAGUGCUUUUGAAGAUGACUUGAUAUUAAUCCAAGUAGGGUUGGUCCUCACUUUCCGAGGGCAAGGUUAAUAUCAAGCUAUGAUAUUAUUCUAUUAUUAAACUCUCAUGUUUCUUUCCUUUUUAUGUAGUAUGGAAUAUUGUAUAGCCCCUGUGAGGCAUUCUUACUUUAACGUAUGGACUAUGCCCAAGUUCUUACACUCUUAUUAGAUUGUUAUGAGAUGAGAUGACUAUUAUGACUAUGUUA